rnacentral:rRNA from 1 species
GACGAACGCUGGCGGCGUGCCUAACACAUGCAAGUCGAACGGAAAGGCCCUGCUUUUGUGGGGUGCUCGAGUGGCGAACGGGUGAGUAACACGUGAGUAACCUGCCCUUGACUUUGGGAUAACUUCAGGAAACUGGGGCUAAUACCGGAUAGGAGCUCCUGCUGCAUGGUGGGGGUUGGAAAGUUUCGGCGGUUGGGGAUGGACUCGCGGCUUAUCAGCUUGUUGGUGGGGUAGUGGCUUACCAAGGCUUUGACGGGUAGCCGGCCUGAGAGGGUGACCGGCCACAUUGGGACUGAGAUACGGCCCAGACUCCUACGGGAGGCAGCAGUGGGGAAUAUUGCACAAUGGGCGGAAGCCUGAUGCAGCAACGCCGCGUGCGGGAUGACGGCCUUCGGGUUGUAAACCGCUUUCGCCUGUGACGAAGCGUGAGUGACGGUAAUGGGUAAAGAAGCACCGGCUAACUACGUGCCAGCAGCCGCGGUGAUACGUAGGGUGCGAGCGUUGUCCGGAUUUAUUGGGCGUAAAGGGCUCGUAGGUGGUUGAUCGCGUCGGAAGUGUAAUCUUGGGGCUUAACCCUGAGCGUGCUUUCGAUACGGGUUGACUUGAGGAAGGUAGGGGAGAAUGGAAUUCCUGGUGGAGCGGUGGAAUGCGCAGAUAUCAGGAGGAACACCAGUGGCGAAGGCGGUUCUCUGGGCCUUUCCUGACGCUGAGGAGCGAAAGCGUGGGGAGCGAACAGGCUUAGAUACCCUGGUAGUCCACGCUGUAAACGGUGGGUACUAGGUGUGGGGUCCAUUCCACGGGUUCCGUGCCGUAGCUAACGCUUUAAGUACCCCGCCUGGGGAGUACGGCCGCAAGGCUAAAACUCAAAGGAAUUGACGGGGCCCCGCACAAGCGGCGGAGCAUGCGGAUUAAUUCGAUGCAACGCGUAGAACCUUACCUGGGUUUGACAUGGAUCGGGAGUGCUCAGAGAUGGGUGUGCCUCUUUUGGGGUCGGUUCACAGGUGGUGCAUGCCUGUCGUCAGCUCGUGUCGUGAGAUGUUGGGUUAAGUCCCGCAACGAGCGCAACCCUUGUUCACUGUUGCCAGCACGUUAUGGUGGGGACUCAGUGGAGACCGCCGGGGUCAACUCGGAGGAAGGUGGGGAUGACGUCAAGUCAUCAUGCCCCUUAUGUCCAGGGCUUCACGCAUGCUACAAUGGCUGGUACAGAGAGUGGCGAGCCUGUGAGGGUGAGCGAAUCUCGGAAAGCCGGUCUCAGUUCGGAUUGGGGUCUGCAACUCGACCUCAUGAAGUCGGAGUCGCUAGUAAUCGCAGAUCAGCAACGCUGCGGUGAAUACGUUCCCGGGGCU